ensembl:misc_RNA 7SK 7SK RNA
GGAUGUGCGGGCGAUCUGGCUGUGACAUCUGUCACACCUUUGAUCGCCAGGGUUGAUUCGGCUGAUGUGGCUGGCUAGGCAGGUGUCCCCUUCCUCCCUCACUGCUCCAUGUGCGCACUCAGUGGAAGAGGAUGACCUUCCCUGAAUAGAGACAGACCGUCUUCGGUCGAGGGUAUACAAGUAGCUGUGCUCCCCUGCUAGAACCUCCAAACAAGCUCUCAAGAAAGAAAAGUGAUUUUCAUAUAAGUCAACACAUCAGCAUGAGAUUCAAUACUUAGGUGACCAGUUCACAGU